rnacentral:rRNA from 1 species
UACGUAGGGUGCAAGCGUUGUCCGGAAUUAUUGGGCGUAAAGAGCUCGUAGGCGGUCUGUCGCGUCUGCUGUGAAAACUCAGGGCUUAACCCUGAGCUUGCAGUGGGUACGGGCAGACUAGAGUGCGGUAGGGGGAGACUGGAAUUCCUGGUGUAGCGGUGAAAUGCGCAGAUAUCAGGGAGGGAACACCGGUGGGCGAAAGGC